CCUACGGGAGGCAGCAGUGGGGAAUAUUGCACAAUGGGCGCAAGCCUGAUGCAGCCAUGCCGCGUGUGUGAAGAAGGCCUUCGGGUUGUAAAGCACUUUCAGCGGGGAGGAAGGCGUUAAGGUUAAUAACCUUGGCGAUUGACGUUACCCGCAGAAGAAGCACCGGCUAACUCCGUGCCAGCAGCCGCGGUAAUACGGAGGGUGCAAGCGUUAAUCGGAAUUACUGGGCGUAAAGCGCACGCAGGCGGUCUGUCAAGUCGGAUGUGAAAGCCCCGGGCUCAACCUGGGAACUGCAUUCGAAAGUGGCAGGCUAGAGUCUUGUAGAGGGGGGUAGAAUUCCAGGUGUAGCGGUGAAAUGCGUAGAGAUCUGGAGGAAUACCGGUGGCGAAGGCGGCCCCCUGGACAAAGACUGACGCUCAGGUGCGAAAGCGUGGGGAGCAAACAGGAUUAGAUACCCCGGUAGUC
rnacentral:rRNA from 1 species